rnacentral:rRNA from 1 species
AGCUCCAAUAGCGUAUAUUAAUGUUGUUGCAGUUAAAAGCUCGUAGUUGAAUUUCUGGGAGGGUGCCGAUGUCCGCGAUUCGUGUGUGCAGCGGCGCCCUCUCAUCCUUCUGUUAGCGCCUCUUGGCAUUCACUUGCUGGUGGCGGGCUCAGAUAUUUUACCUUGAGAAAAUUAGAGUGUUUCAGGCAGGCUAGGCCGGAAUACAUUAGCAUGGAAUAAUGGAAUAGGACUACGGUCUCUUUGUUGGUUUGAGGGGCUGCAGUAAUGAUUAAUAGGGAUAGUUGGGGGCAUUAGUACUUAACUGUCAGAGGUGGAAUUCUCAGAUUUUGUUAAAGACUGACUUAUGCGAAAGCAUUUGCCAAGGAUGUUUUCA